rnacentral:rRNA from 1 species
GACGAACGCUGGCGGCGUGCUUAACACAUGCAAGUCGAACGGAAAGGCCCUGCUUUUGUGGGGUGCUCGAGUGGCGAACGGGUGAGUAACACGUGAGUAACCUGCCCUUGACUUUGGGAUAACUUCAGGAAACUGGGGCUAAUACCGGAUAGGAGCUCCUGCUGCAUGGUGGGGGUUGGAAAGUUUCGGCGGGUGGGGCUGGGCUCGCGGCUUAUGAGCUUGUUGGUGGGGUAGUGGCUUACCAAGGCUUUGACGGGUAGCCGGCCUGAGAGGGUGAGCGGCCACGUUGGGACUGAGCUGCGGCCCAGACUCCUACGGGAGGCAGCAGUGGGGAAGAGUGCACAAUGGGCGGAAGCCUGAUGCAGCAACGCCGCGUGCGGGAUGACGGCCUUCGGGUUGUAAACCGCUUUCGCCUGUGACGAAGCGUGAGUGACGGUAAUGGGUAAAGAAGCACCGGCUAACUACGUG